UGUCUGCCUCGAUGAAUGCUCUUGGACAAGCUGUGGCUGCAGGGAUUGAAAGUGUCAAUCCAGGACCUCUUGUUGUGACCUUAGGUCAGGUUGAGAUGCUUAAUGGGUGGAACUAUAAGAAGUGGAGAAAUCAGGUGGAAUUUUAUCUGUCCAUGCAUCAAAACAUGGAUCUUUGCCUCAUAGAGGAUCAGCCUUCUGAACUAGAUUCUGAAAGUACAAAUGAGGAUAGUAGGCAUUAUAAGGAGUGGUAUAGCAACAACAGAAAAGCCAAAAAUGUGAUUAGGUGCACUAUGUCAGACACAGUGAAAGGGUCUAUAGUGGAGCCCGAGUUAGCCAUGGACUUUCUGGAAGAAAUUGCAGACAAAUAUAGAGAGAGUGACAAGGCUGAAGCAGCUAGGUUGUCUAGGAAGUUCAAUGAACUGAGUUUCUCUGGGAAGGGCAGUGUGAGGGAGCACAUUAUGCAGCUAAUUGAUAUUAACUCUAGGCUUAGAGACCUAGACAUGGGAGUUAAAGAUGAACAGGUGGUGCAUGUGGCACUUCAUUCUCUGCCAAACACCUACAGCAACCUGAGAACUUCAUAUAAUGCCUUAGAGACCAAAUGGAACCUGAACAAGCUAAUCUCGAUCUGUGUGGAUGAGGAGGAAAGAAUUAAGAGAGAGGGAGUACCAACCACUACAGUUAAUCUGGUUGAGAAACCAAAGUGCAAAAAGCAGAAUAAACUUAAGCCUAAGAAGACCACCAUCACUAAAAUAGCUGGGAAACCUGCAGAAGCUAGAGCUGGAAAAGUCUU
rnacentral:lncRNA from 1 species